rnacentral:rRNA from 1 species
GGAAGUAAAAGUCGUAACAAGGUCUCCGUUGGUGAACCAGCGGAGGGAUCAUUACUGAGUUACCGCUCAUCAACCCUUUGUGAACAUACCUUAACUGUUGCUUCGGCGGGUAGGCGUCCCCUAAAAAGGACGUCUCCCGGCCCUCUCCCGUCCGCGGGUGGGGCGCCCGCCGGAGGAUAACCAAACUCUGAUUUAACGACGUUUCUUCUGAGUGACACAAGCAAAUAAUCAAAACUUUUAACAACGGAUCUCUUGGUUCUGGCAUCGAUGAAGAACGCAGCGAAAUGCGAUAAGUAAUGUGAAUUGCAGAAUUCAGUGAAUCAUCGAAUCUUUGAACGCACAUUGCGCCCGCCAGCAUUCUGGCGGGCAUGCCUGUUCGAGCGUCAUUUCAACCCUCAAGCUCUGCUUGGUGUUGGGGCUCUACGGUUGACGUAGGCCCUUAAAGGUAGUGGCGGACCCUCUCGGAGCCUCCUUUGCGUAGUAACAUUUCGUCUCGCAUUGGGAUUCGGAGGGACUCUAGCCGUAAAACCCCCAAUUUUACUAAGGUUGACCUCGGAUCAGGUAGGAAUACCCGCUGAACUUAAGCAUAUCAUACGAAAAA